UCCCAGCGGUUUCGAGGUGAUUUGGGGGGGGGAGGGGGGUUUGAGGAGGGGGGGGUGCGGCACCUGCUCGCCGUGCAAGCGAGCGGGCUGCACCGCCCCCGCGGUAAAAGCACGCCGAGUCCCCGUGUGUGUCGUCCGUCCCGUCCCCCCCCCCCCCACUUACUUAUUUCCAAGUUGUCGCUACUGACGGCAAAUCCACCCGGCGGAGGGGCUGCAGCCCCGGCCCCUCGCCCUCCCAGCCCCGCGGGGGGUGGGUGUGUGUGGAGCGGGGAGCCGGGGGUGGUGAAGGCGGGCGGGCUGCGCUCGUCGUUCUUCGGCAAAGCCCUAGGCAGAUCUCCGCGUCCGACUCGGCCAGCGGGGGAAAAUCCAGCUCCGCUGCCCGCCGCAAGCCCUCCCCUCUUCGGGGGGUCAGCGUUCAGCCGGGGCCGGGCCGCCUUCCCCUGGACCGCGGAGCCCUCGGUCGCCCUCCGUGCCCGCGGGGAGGCCGAGGGAAGAAGCGUCCUUCCUUUGGCCGCCAGUCUCUCGGGUCUGCGAGGCGACGGGGAAAAAAACCAAACCGAGCCCCUUUCGGCGAACGGUUUAAUCUCGGGUCUAAGCGAAAGGCAGCUGCUGCCAAGGGCUGCCUGCCUCGCCGCAGGCAGCGGGGAAGCGGGAUCGGGCAGCGCGGGGCGCUUGCGAAGAGGGGUCUCCAAGAAGACGCGGGGAAUGCCAGGCUCCUGCUCGGGUUUCCGAUUCCCCUCUGCUGAUGGGAGCCGUCCCGGGCGAUCCCUCCACGCUGUGGUUGGGGAAGGGGAGUGGUGGUUGGGGAGGGGGGGGGGGGUGGUGGUUGAGUGCACGGCAGCGGGUCCCGGGUCCGGCGCUCGGCUUCACCGCAUGGUCCCUCCUGGCAAAGUGCAACCAGAAGCCCUAGCGCAAGAGAUUUGUUGCGGUGGGUUGGUUUGGGUUUUUUUUUUUUUUUUUUUUUUUUUUUUUUUUUUUUUUUUUUUUUUUUUGGGGGGGGGGGGGGGGGGAAGAAUAAGUCGCGGAGAGGCACUUGCUUUCCAGGCACACCUCAGCAAGUUGCAACCGAAGCUAAAAGGCAGAGCGUAA
rnacentral:lncRNA from 1 species